rnacentral:misc_RNA from 1 species
AACGCAUCUUGCACUCCUUGGUUUACCCUAUGGAGCAUGCCUGUUUGAGUGUUAUGUUGGCCUCAAUUCCUCCCAGGUUUUCUUAAUGAAGGCCUUGUUGGGUGAAUUGGAUUUGGAGGUACAAUGCAGGUUCCUUACUUUUGGGAUCAGCUCCUCUCGAAAACAUUAGCUUGGGGGAUGAUACAAGAGCUUUAGUGCCACCUGUUUGCCCAUGAUGUAAUAAUUAUUCCAUCAUAGCAGAAAAUGACAAGUGUGCACAUCUAUGAAGCCUCUGUAGCUUACUCUGCUGCAAAUUUGUCAGGGCCUUGUCUUGACAUUGAUUGAACUUUUUGGCCUCAAAUCAGGUAGGACUACCCGCUGAACUUAA